rnacentral:lncRNA from 1 species
CAGCUCUUUUGUUUUCUGACCCUGUACCCUGUUCCAAAGCCAGCCUCUCUUCAUCGCAUCCUGAUGACUCUGCGCUGGGGCCAAGUUGACCAGAAGCCCUAGAACUUCCGCUUUGCACUUGCCCUUUGAGUGUCUACUCAAGUCGUGUCCUGCUUCAGUAGUGGGGAAUCCCUGGGCAAGUUCUUGAGGGUUGGGGGGAGGUCCUCAGGCAUGCCUGAUUCUG